UGUUUAGUAUGGAAAGACUUCGAUGUAAAGCAUCCGCACUUUGCGAGUGACCCACGCAAUAUCCGACUUGGUCUAGCGAUAGAUAGAUUUAAUCUCUUUGGCAAUCUGAGCACCUCUUACAGCAUGUGGCCUAUGAUGCUAGUCAUAUAUAAUGUAUCACCUUGGAAGUGCAUGAAAGAAUCAUUUAUUUUUAUGUCAC
rnacentral:lncRNA from 1 species